CAGUAGCCGCGGGAAUACGUAGGGUGCAAGCGUUAAUCGGAAUUACUGGGCGUAAAGCGUGCGCAGGCGGUUUUGUAAGACAGAGGUGAAAUCCCCGGGCUCAACCUGGGAACUGCCUUUGUGACUGCAAGGCUAGAGUACGGCAGAGGGGGAUGGAAUUCCGCGUGUAGCAGUGAAAUGCGUAGAUAUGCGGAGGAACACCGAUGGCGAAGGCAAUCCCCUGGGCCUGUACUGACGCUCAUGCACGAAAGCGUGGGGAGCAAACAGGAUUAGAUACCCGAGUAGUCCCUGUCUCUUAUAC
rnacentral:rRNA from 1 species